AAAAAAAAAAAAGAAGGGGAAACUCUCUGAGCCCUAAAAUGCAGAGAGAGAAACAGAGAGGAUCAAAGAGUGGCGGAAUGAAAAAGCGGGAUAUCGUAUGAGGAGAAAGAAUAUAUAUGCAUUAAAAGACAAUGUUAGCUCUGUUACUCGCGCCGGCUCCGCCUUCUCCAUUGCUCGCUUUCAAUCGAUUCCCUCCCAUUUCUUCCCCCUCUUCCAUUCCUGCUGCUGACCUUCUCCGGGCGGCAUCUAGGCGACUUAUUUCUGCUACGAAGACGGCACAAUCGAUAUCUACAAUGGCAACUGAGGAAGAAAACGUCGGUAAUAUCAAGCGACAAUUAGCUAAAAUAUUCGAGGUGUCCCUCAGAGCAACGGUCCCCGAGGAGACGGAUGUUGAGCCUUUGGUGGCUGCUUGUGCUGGAAAAUUUGGCGACUAUCAGUGCAAUAAUGCGAUGGGCCUUUGGUCUAAAAUUAAAGGAAAAGGAAGUCAGUUUAAGGGCCCCCCUUCCGUUGGACAGGCCAUCAUGAAAAAUCUUCCUCCAUCUGAAAUUAUAGAAUCAAGUUCUGUGGCAGGCCCUGGUUUCGUGAAUGUAGUAAUAUCUAAGAAUUGGCUUGCUAAGAGCAUACAAAAAAUGCUAAUUGAUGGUAUUGAAACUUGGGCUCCUCGUCUUCCGAUUAAAAGAGCAGUAGUUGAUUUCUCAUCGCCUAAUAUAGCAAAAGAAAUGCAUGUUGGCCAUUUGAGAUCUACGAUCAUUGGAGACACUCUAGCCCGAAUGCUUGAAUUUUCAAAUGUUGACGUUCUUCGAAGAAACCAUGUUGGUGAUUGGGGAACACAGUUUGGUAUGUUGAUUGAAUUCCUUUUUGAAAGAUUUCCGAACUGGGAAGAAGUUACUGAAACAGCUAUUGGAGAUCUGCAGACAUUCUAUAAGGCGUCAAAGCAGAGAUUUGACAGUGAUCCUGCGUUUAAGGAGAGGGCACAACAGGCAGUGGUUCUUCUUCAGGGUGGGGAAGCUAAAUAUCGUAAGGCUUGGGCACAAAUAUGUGAAAUCAGCAGGAAUGAAUUUAACAGGGUAUAUGAACGCCUUGGAGUUGAAUUAGAGGAGAAGGGAGAGAGCUUUUACAACCCGUACAUUCCUAAUGCCAUAAAAGAAUUGACUGAUAAGGGCUUAGUGGAGGAAAGCCAGGGUGCUCGUGUAAUCUUUCUUGAUGGAAUAAAUAUACCUCUAAUUGUUGUCAAGAGUGACGGUGGUUUCAAUUAUGCUUCAACUGAUCUUACGGCCAUCUGGUAUCGCCUUAAUGAAGAGAAAGCUGAAUGGAUUAUAUAUGUCACUGAUGUGGGGCAGCAGCAGCACUUUGACAUGGUUUUCCGGGCUUGUAAACGUGCUGGUUGGCUUCCACUUGAUGAUAAUAAGCAUCCCAAAACAACCCAUGUCGGUUUUGGGUUGGUUCUUGGUGAAGAUGGCAAGCGUUUUCGAACUCGAAAUACCGAAGUGGUUCGUUUAGUUGAUUUGCUUGAUGAAGCCAAGAGCCGCAGUAAAACUGCACUUCUUGAAAGGGAGAAAGCUGCAGAAUGGUCUGAGGAAGAUCUUGAACAAAUUGCUGAAGCUGUUGGUUAUGGUGCUGUUAAGUAUGCUGACCUUAAGAACAACAGGUUGACGAACUAUACGUUCAAUUUUGAUCAGAUGCUCAAUGAUAAGGGCAACACUGCUGUGUAUUUGCUGUAUGCCCAUGCUCGUAUCUGUUCAAUCAUCAGAAAAUCUGGUAAAAAUAUAGAGGAGUUGAAAAAAGUAAACGGGAACAAUUGUGUUGGAGCACGAGGACGAGCGUGUAUUGGGGCUUCAUUUGUUACAAUUUGCCGAGGUUGUGGAGGAAGCAUGCACCAAUCUGUUGCCGAAUGUGUUGUGUGAAUACCUGUACAACUUAUCCGAAAUAUUUACGAAAAAAUUCUAUUCCAAUUGCCAGGUCGUUGGGUCAGCUGAAGAAACCAGCAGGCUCCUGCUCUGUGAAGCCACAGGCACAGUGAUGAGGAAAUGCUUCCAUCUUCUUGGAAUUGUACCUGUUUACAAAAUAUAACCCUCUGAAAAGCACAAUUUGCAGAUCCCCUUUCAGAAGACUGUUUUGAUUUCCGUCACUUCACUAUCCAUCUCUGCUAUCCUUUCCGACAUUAGAGUUGCGCCUGAGCGAGGAAAGAAGAAAAACAAGGAUCCAUACAGAACAUUGUAGUGUUUUAGUUUGGUUUAAGCUUAUAAAGCUUUGGCCUUUAAUCUAUAUUUCUAUUGACCCUGGGAAGGCCCUUCUUAUUUUGCUUCAUUAAUUGGCUCGUCACAUUUCCCCUUCCCCCCGGUGUAAUUUGUCCAAGAUAUUGAAUCAGGCUGCUCAGAAUCAGUUAUAAACAAAAUCAAAAUUGUUCUUAGGA